UUUAAAGAGAGUUUGAUCCUGGCUCAGGACGAACGCUGGCGGCGUGCCUAAUACAUGCAAGUCGAACGAACGGAGGAAGAGCUUGCUCUUCCAAAGUUAGUGGCGGACGGGUGAGUAACACGUGGGCAACCUGCCUGUAAGUUGGGGAUAACUCCGGGAAACCGGGGCUAAUACCGAAUGAUAAGGAGUGACGCAUGUCACUGCUUUGAAAGAUGGUUUCGGCUAUCGCUUACAGAUGGGCCCGCGGUGCAUUAGCUAGUUGGUAGGGUAAAGGCCUACCAAGGCAACGAUGCAUAGCCGACCUGAGAGGGUGAUCGGCCACACUGGGACUGAGACACGGCCCAGACUCCUACGGGAGGCAGCAGUAGGGAAUCUUCCGCAAUGGACGAAAGUCUGACGGAGCAACGCCGCGUGUAUGAAGAAGGUUUUCGGAUCGUAAAGUACUGUUGUUAGAGAAGAAUAAGGAUAAGAGUAACUGCUUGUCCCUUGACGGUAUCUAACCAGAAAGCCACGGCUAACUACGUGCCAGCAGCCGCGG
rnacentral:rRNA from 1 species